rnacentral:rRNA from 1 species
UAUCUCUGUAGAGUCUGCAUAUCAAUAAGCGGAGGAAAAGAAACUAACUAGGAUUCCCUCAGUAACGGCGAGUGAAGCGGGAAGAGCUCAAAUUUGAAAUCUUCAAGGUUUUACCUUGACGAAUUGUAGUUUAAAGAAGUGUUUUCUGUUGGAGUUUUGGUAAAAGUUCUUUGGAAUAGGACAUCAUAGAGGGUGAGAAUCCCGUAUUUGACCAUUAUUUCCAGCUUUGUGAUACACUUUUAAAGAGUCGGAUUGUUUGGGAAUGCAGUCCAAAAUGGGUGGUAAAUUUCAUCUAAAGCUAAAUAUUGGCGAGAGACCGAUAGCGAACAAGUACCGUGAGGGAAAGAUGAAAAGAACUUUGAAAAGAGAGUUAAACAGUACGUGAAAUUGUCAAAAGGGAAGCGUUUGACACCAGUGUUGUUUCUACGAAAAUCAAUUUAUGAUGGCUUGAUGCUAAGCUUUAAGACUUUAUCCGCUUGUUGUUUAGUUUUCUUGUCUUUGUGAAUGCACUUUUCGUGGAACAAGUCAACAUCAAUUUCUUUUGCUGUAAAAGGGUAAGAGGAAGGUGGCUUCGGCUUCGGUUGAAGUGUUUAUAGCCUUUUAUCUCUGCAGUCGGAGAGAUUGAGGUCUGCAGCGUAGACUCUUCGGGGUUAGAUACGUCGGUGCUAAGCUAUAGCUUUUCAUAGACAACUUGUUGACUAUGUUUAGUCAUGUGGCUUACCCGCUGGCGCUAUUUUACCUACGCUUAGGAUGUUGAGUCAUCACACAUCUCU